AUUGAACGCUGGCGGCAUGCCUUACACAUGCAAGUCGAACGGCAGCACGGGAGCAAUCCUGGUGGCGAGUGGCGAACGGGUGAGUAAUAUAUCGGAACGUGCCCAGUCGUGGGGGAUAACGUAGCGAAAGCUACGCUAAUACCGCAUACGAUCUAUGGAUGAAAGCGGGGGAUCGCAAGACCUCGCGCGAUUGGAGCGGCCGAUAUCAGAUUAGGUAGUUGGUGGGGUAAAAGCCUACCAAGCCUUCGAUCUGUAGCUGGUCUGAGAGGACGACCAGCCACACUGGAACUGAGACACGGUCCAGACUCCUACGGGAGGCAGCAGUGGGGAAUUUUGGACAAUGGGCGGCAAGCCUGAUCCAGCAAUGCCGCGUGCAGGAUGAAGGCCUCGG
rnacentral:rRNA from 1 species